rnacentral:rRNA from 1 species
UGCAGCAGGCGCGAAAACUUUACAAUGCGGGAAACCGUGAUAAGGGAACUCCGAGUGCCCGUAAAAUCGGGCUGUCCAUCUGUUUAAAUAACAGGUGAAGAAAGGGCCGGGCAAGACCGGUGCCAGCCGCCGCGGUAAUACCGGCGGCUCGAGUGGUGGCCACUAUUACUGGGCUUAAAGCGUUCGUAGCUGGUCUGUUAAGUCUCUGGGGAAAUCUACUGGCUUAACCAAUAGGCGUUUCAGGGAUACUGGCAGACUAGGGACCGGGAGAGGUGAGGGGUACUCCAGGGGUAGGAGUGAAAUCCUGUAAUCCUUGGGGGACCACCUGUGGCGAAGGCGCCUCACCAGAACGGCUCCGACAGUGAGGGACGAAAGCUGGGGGAGCAAACCGGAUUAGAUACCCGGGUAGUCCCAGCCGUAAACGAUGCGCGUUAGGUGUAUCGGUGACCACGAGUCACCGAGGUGCCGAAGAGAAAUCGUGAAACGUGCCGCCUGGGAAGUACGGUCGCAAGGCUGAAACUUAAAGGAAUUGGCGGGGGAGCAC